rnacentral:rRNA from 1 species
AUGAACGCUGGCGGCGUGCCUAAUCCCUGCAAGUCGAGCGAACAGACGAGGAGCUUGCUCCUUUGACGUUAGCGGCGGACGGGUGAGUAACACGUAGGUAACCUACCUAUAAGACUGGGAUAACUUCGGGAAACCGGAGCUAAUACCGGAUAAUAUUUCGAACCGCAUGGUUCGAUAGUGAAAGAUGGCUUUGCUCUCACUUAUAGAUGGACCUGCGCCGUAUUAGCUAGUUGGUAAGGUAACGGCUUACCAAGGCAACGAUACGUAGCCGACCUGAGAGGGUGAUCGGCCACACUGGAACUGAGACACGGUCCAGACUCCUACGGGAGGCAGCAGUAGGGAAUCUUCCGCAAUGGGCGAAAGCCUGACGGAGCAACGCCGCGUGAGUGAUGAAGGUCUUCGGAUCGUAAAACUCUGUUAUUAGGGAAGAACAAACGUGUAAGUAACUGUGCACGUCUUGACGGUACCUAAUCAGAAAGCCACGGCUAACUACGUG